rnacentral:sRNA from 1 species
AGAUAUUUUUCUUCUCUUUUCUCACUGCUCUUUCUGUUUCUCUUCAUUUCUUUUCUUUUAUGAUUUUUUUCAGUGCUCUCUUCCCCUCUCUCUCAGACUUGCAUCAGAUUACAUGACUGUAAAAUAUCACAGAUAACACAGACUUUUCUUCACUCUUCUUUUUAUUUUUCUUUUCAGAACACUCAUUUUUUCUCUUUUUCUUUUGUCUAUCUCAUCUAUCUUUCUUCUAUUGUUAGAAGUGCAGACAGUUCUCAGAUCAACUGAAAGAGUUAUCUCUCUUCAUUCACUAUAAAGUCUUUCAGACACAGCAGCAGCAAUUCUCUCAGAAAUCACACUAUAGCUUCAUCAUGAAUAGUUAUACAUUGAG